AGCGAACGCUGGCGGCAGGCUUAACACAUGCAAGUCGAACGGUUCUUCGGGAUAGUGGCGGACGGGUGAGUAACACGUGGGAACGUACCCUUAGGUUCGGAACAACACGGGGAAACUUGUGCUAAUACCGGAUAAGCCCUUCGGGGGAAAGAUUUAUCGCCUUUGGAGCGGCCCGCGUCUGAUUAGCUUGUUGGUGAGGUAAUGGCUCACCAAGGCUACGAUCAGUAGCUGGUCUGAGAGGAUGGCCAGCCACACUGGGACUGAGACACGGCCCAGACUCCUACGGGAGGCAGCAGUGGGGAAUCUUGCGCAAUGGGCGAAAGCCUGACGCAGCCAUGCCGCGUGGAUGAUGAAGGUCUUAGGAUUGUAAAAUCCUUUCACCGGGGACGAUAAUGACGGUACCCGGAGAAGAAGCCCCGGCUAACUUCGUGCCAGCCGCCGCAGUAA
rnacentral:rRNA from 1 species